rnacentral:rRNA from 1 species
CAGGUACAGAGGGCAGCUACCCAGCAAUGGGAUGCGAAUCUCGAAAGCCUGUCUCAGUUCGGAUUGGAGGCUGAAACCCGCCUCCAUGAAGUUGGAUUCGCUAGUAAUCGCGCAUCAGCCAUGGCGCGGUGAAUACGUUCCCGGGCCUUGUACACACCGCCCGUCAAGCCAUGGGAGCCGGGGGUGCCUGAAGUCCGGGACCGCGAGGACCGGCCUAGGGCGAAACUGGUAACUGGGGCUAAGUCGUAACAAGGUAGC